rnacentral:lncRNA from 1 species
UGCGUAUUGUUAUGCGUUUACUUUUCUACAUUGGCUAGAGGUAUAGGGGGAGGGUUGAGAUCUCACAAACAUGUUUAACCCCGCCGCAUUUUUGCGCCUGUCCCAAGUCAGGAGCCCAUGGCCUUUGUUAGUCUUGCAUUAUUUUAAUUUUAAUUUCUUGUGUACAAUUUGGAAAUUAGUAUGACGUUCAUUAUCACUGAACUAG